rnacentral:misc_RNA from 1 species
ACUUUUUCAGUAAUAUUUCGACAAGAUUCAGGUAAAAAUUAUAAUGCAUAACCUAACCUAAAUCCACGUCAUUAAUUGUGAUGUGACACUUUCCAACUAAGCACUAUUUCUAGUCACCGUAUAAAAACUGUAUAUUGAAUACUGUAUAUAUUUUGUAAUAACCACCUUAGCAUUAUUUUUACAAAAUUUAAAUAAAUUAAACACGCUCAAUAUUUAUCAGCGAAAUGAACGCCACUAUACAUACAUAUGAAGGAAUGAUGAAAUUUCUAAUGGCGGGAAUAAUGACAUUAUUUUACAAACAGCACAAAAAAUAGACUUGUUCAUUAACCGUUAAU